rnacentral:rRNA from 1 species
CCCUUAGAUGUUCUGGGCUGCACGCGUGCCACACUGAUUACUUCAACAAGUGUUUUAACUGGAGAGUUCGCGUAAUCCUGAAAUGUUAUCGUGAUGGGAGUAGAGUAUUGUAUUUGUUAAUCUUUAACGAGGAAUUCCUAGUAAGUGUAGGUUUAUAAGUUGUUCUGAUUACGUCCCUGCCCUUUGUACACACCGCCCGUCGCUCCUACCGAUUGAUUGAUCCGGUGAAUUACAUAGAAUUUUGCGUUUUACAUGACGGAAGAUGAAGUGUUUUAAACCUUAUCAUUUAGAGGAAGGAGAAGUCGUAACA